CAAAUGUUUCACUCGAAACUACAACCAUUUCUGGUUACAGAGCUACCAAAUAAAAUCUAAAUAAGAUUAAAAACACAAAGAGUUAUUUAUCUGUUCCCAAAAAAAUCCAUGGCUGAAGCUGCAGACAGUCAACGAUUGAAGUCAGUUUCCACCCACGAGAAAAAGGAAAACGAAAGGCAGCCAUAGACGGACCACUCAGUAAAGUCUUCUUCUUCUUCUUCUUAUUCUUACGUAGAACGGAUGGGACAAGAGGCAAGAGCAGCAGCAACGUCAAAAUAUCAUAUGGGGAAUCAUCACCGAGCUCGCUUCACCCUCAUGAUCUCCUCUUUCAUCGUCAUCAUGUUUUGGUUAGCAGCAUUACAGCAGGCAGAGGCGGACGACGGGUGGCAGAUGCCGAGUAGGUACUACUCUUCCAAGGCGUUUACUACUCUUCCGAACCGCGGUUGCGGCGAUACUUGUCCGGCUCCUGUCCAUGAGCCGCAACCUCCUCCAGUGAAGCGACCCCCACGCCGACCAUAAGCCUCCCAGUGGGCUUCCCGUGCAACGUUGACGUACGUUGAUCGAGUAUAUGCAUGUUUCUGUUUUCUCAGCUUGCUUCUGUCUGCAGCAACAAAAAUAUUCGAAGAGAAUAAAAAGUAUCUAUUUUGUCAA